GUCAUUCCUUUUAUAACUUAUCCUACAAUUUUGUUUGUUUCAUCAUCUGUUUUGGGCACGAUCAAGGGAGGCAAUUGCAGCUUUGGAUCCGAUCUCUCAAAGGGCAAGCUCUGGAGCUUGUAGAGGAGGCGUUUGUAGCUUAAGAGCCCAACUCUCAAAAGGAAAAAUCUGGAGCUUGUAGAGGAGAGGGUUGAGUGCUUUAGAUAUUGGCAAUAAUACUUGAUGUGUUUAGAAAUCUGUGUUCCAUUGUACAGACGCCUCAUGCCAGAACAGAAAUGGCAAAGAAA
rnacentral:misc_RNA from 1 species